CAGCCGUAAACGAUACUCGCUAGGUGUCGGCCACGGUGCGACCGUUGUCGGUGCCGUAGGGAAGCCGUGAAGCGAGCCACCUGGGAAGUACGGCCGCAAGGCUGAAACUUAAAGGAAUUGGCGGGGGAGCACAACAACGGGUGGAGCCUGCGGUUUAAUUGGACUCAACGCCGGACAACUCACCGGGAACGACAGCAAUAUGUAGGCCAGGCUGAAGACCUUGCCUGAAUCGCUGAGAGGAGGUGCAUGGCGUAGACGUCU
rnacentral:rRNA from 1 species